CAAGGGGCGGUGCCGCCGCGGGCCCAUCAGCCAAUUGCGGUCUCCCGGAGGACUGCCGGGCGAUUUCAAGGUGUGGACACGGAGGAACCUAGCCAAGUUUAUAGAACUAGCAACCGCUGGGAUUCGCACGUGGGCGGCUUCUAGCCGCCCUGGAGUCAAAGGCUGUAACAGUCCUGAAUUCGCUUUCCAAACUGAGCCAUAGUGAUGUGCCUGUAUAUAUGCCUUUCCCGUGACUAGACUGUGACAUAAACUGGAUGAGAUUGGAGACCACCAUACAGAAAAGUGCAGAAACCCUAAGUGUGCAUUCAGCGUGUUGUUACCAUGUGGACGCACAUGGAACCAUCACUGAGCUUAAGCAGCAACAUGGCCAGCACCUCAGCGGCCACCAGAAGUCAGUGCCCUGUUUCUCCUCCCAGGCGGCCACCCUCCUGAAUUUAACACCACACGUUCGUUUGGCCAAUUUCAGAACUUAGUGCAAAUGGAAUCGCAGGCAUGUAUUCACUUGUAUCUGGUGUCUGUGCAUUCAUAAAAUGGCUCAAUGUACAGCCGUUUAAGUUCAUACAGGAGUUCUAUAUAAUCUGAUAUGAAACACUAUCAGGACAUAUGGUUAAAUCAAAGCAAAGAAAGCCAGACGAAGUGUCCAGAAUAUUGUAUGUGUGAAUGGCUCUGAAGAGCAGAUGCAACACCUUCAAAACUCUAAUAUGAGAAAGGGACCAUUGGUAGAUGUGUGUGAAUGAGGGGAGAAUUCUUUUUGCAAUAUAAACUUUUGUACUGAAUUGUU